GACGAACGCUGGCGGCGUGCCUAAUACAUGCAAGUAGAACGCUGAAGAGAGGAGCUUGCUCUUCUUGGAUGAGUUGCGAACGGGUGAGUAACGCGUAGGUAACCUGCCUUGUAGCGGGGGAUAACUAUUGGAAACGAUAGCUAAUACCGCAUAACAAUGGCUGACACAUGUCAUUUAUUUGAAAGGGGCAAUUGCUCCACUACAAGAUGGACCUGCGUUGUAUUAGCUAGUAGGUGAGGUAAUGGCUCACCUAGGCGACGAUACAUAGCCGACCUGAGAGGGUGAGCGGCCACACUGAGACUGAGACACGGCCCAGACUGCUACGGGAGGCAGCAGUAGGGAAUCUGCGGCAAUGGGGGCAACCCUGACCGAGCAACGCCGCGUGAGUGAAGAAGGUUUUCGGGUCGUAAAGCUCGGUUGUAAGUCAAGAACGGGUGUGAGAGUGGAAAGUUCACAAUGUGACGGUAGCUGAACAGAAAGGGACGGCUAACUACGUG
rnacentral:rRNA from 1 species